rnacentral:lncRNA from 1 species
UAUGUAUUAUUCAAUAGGCAUGGCAUUUUUAAAGCAUAAUUCAUAUAAUUGCAUUUUUUGGGAAAAACAUCAAGUGUAUACAUAUAUACUUAAAACCAAAAGUCCACACACAUUGCUCAAUUCCUUAAACAAGGCUAUGGUCUCAACUAUUUAAUCUCAUUUCUUAUAUGGUUGCAUCUAACGUCUCGUUAGACUGCCUACGUACCCUAAACAGGGAUCAAGCCAUUCAUAGUUCGCAACAAUCAUUUAUAGUAAUACGCAUAUGGAUAGUCACAAUGAAAUCUAACUCAACCAUCUCAUAGUAUUUUAUAACAUAUAAAUAUAUAUAUAUAUGUAUAUAUAAUAUAUAUAUAUAUAUAUAUAUAUAUAUAUAUAAAUAUAUAUAUAUAUAUACAUAUAUAUAUAUAUAUAUAUAUAUAUAUAUAUGUCAUGGCAUAAGUUCUCAGUUUUAUUUAAAAGCAUUUAUAGAAUUAUCAAUCAUGAAACAUAAGAUGAGCAAGGAAAGAUCCACUCACCUGGAGUCCGCACUACAACUUCCUAGCACGAACAUCGAGGCGUCAUAAACGAUCGGCGCCUGUGACCAAUUAUCAAACCAUAUCUCAGAAUUCUCAUUGAUACAAUACAUAACUUACAUCGUACAUAAGUCUACGCAAUUCCGUCCAAAAGAUCUACAAAUCAAAUCUCUGAUUGGUAACUUUCAAGGAUCCACGUUAUGCUUUUAGAAUAACAAACUAAAGUUUUGGAACGAUCCAACGAUCAGAUCUCCACCAAUUGCCAAAACCAAGUGGUGGUUAACAUUUUAUUUUAUGAACUUACAAAUCCAAUUCGAGGAGAUCCACACGUCGGAUUUCCAAUCCGUAAGUUCCUAUAUUCCUUAAAUAUUAUGAAUAAUAACCUAUUAAA